AACGAACGCUGGCGGCAGGCCUAACACAUGCAAGUCGAGCGAGGACUUCGGUCCUAGCGGCGGACGGGUGAGUAACGCGUGGGAACGUGCCCUUUGCUUCGGAAUAGCCCUGGGAAACUGGGAGUAAUACCGGAUGAGCCCUUUGGGGGAAAGAUUUAUCGGCGAAGGAUCGGCCCGCGUUGGAUUAGGUAGUUGGUGGGGUAAUGGCCUACCAAGCCGACGAUCCAUAGCUGGUUUGAGAGGAUGAUCAGCCACACUGGGACUGAGACACGGCCCAGACUCCUACGGAGGCAGCAGUGGGGAAUCUUAGACAAUGGGGGAAACCCUGAUCGAGCCAUGCCGCGUGAGCGAUGAAGGCCUUAGGGUUGUAAAGCUCUUUCAGCUGGGAAGAUAAUGACGGUACCAGCAGAAGAAGCCCCGGCUAACUCCGUG
rnacentral:rRNA from 1 species